UGGGGAAUAUUGCGCAAUGGGCGAAAGCCUGACGCAGCGACGCCGCGUGAGGGAUGAAGGCCUUCGGGUUGUAAACCUCUUUCAGCAGGGACGAAUUCAGACGGUACCUGCAGAAGAAGCACCGGCCAACUACGUGCCAGCAGCCGCGGUAAUACGUAGGGUGCAAGCGUUGUCCGGAAUUAUUGGGCGUAAAGAGCUCGUAGGCGGUCUGUCGCGUCGGCUGUGAAAACUCGGGGCUCAACCCCGAGCCUGCAGUCGAUACGGGCAGACUAGAGUGCGGUAGGGGAGACUGGAAUUCCUGGUGUAGCGGUGAAAUGCGCAGAUAUCAGGAGGAACACCGGUGGCGAAGGCGGGUCUCUGGGCCGUAACUGACGCUGAGGAGCGAAAGCGUGGGGAGCAAACAG
rnacentral:rRNA from 1 species